UACGUAGGGUGCGAGCGUUGUCCGGAAUUAUUGGGCGUAAAGAGCUCGUAGGCGGUCUGUCGCGUCGAUCGUGAAAACUUGGGGCUUAACCCUGAGCUUGCGGUCGAUACGGGCAUGACUGGAGUUCGGCAGGGGAGACUGGAAUUCCUGGUGUAGCGGUGAAAUGCGUAGAUAUCGGGAGGAACACCAGUGGCGAAGGCGACUUCCUGGACCAGUACCGACGUUCAGGCACGAAAGCGUGGGGAGCAAACAGG
rnacentral:rRNA from 1 species